ensembl:lncRNA
CAGAAAUGAAAAUUUCACAGUUUGGAUGUGGAAAGAUUCAGAGAAAGUAAUGUAAAAAUGGGGAAAGGUUCAGAAAACCAUCUAUCUAUCUGAUUUUUUUUCUUUUCGUUUUUGAAUGUUUGUAUGUGUCUCGAUUCAUACUCGGAGUCAGAGUACUUCAACAUGGAACCAUCUUUAUUCAUCCAAAUAAAGAGACAUAGGAGCAAGACACAGACGAAGCAGGGAGAACAGACGUAUAACAGCAGACGAAGAAACUAGAAGUGGGACUCACUAUAAAUACACAGGACUGAUGAGGGGAAGACGAAGAACACCUGGAACUAAUGGAAACACAUAGGAAACCUGGGAUUAAAUCAAAGAUGCAGGAGACAGAAACUGGCACAGCAAAUUACACUGGUGAUUCAAGCCUUUUAUCUUGGUGAUCUGUGUGGACUUCCUUCCAGAAAUGACGGCAGAAUGGUGAGUCAUGGGACUCAGAGUGAAUGUGAACACUAUAAAGCAGUCCUCCUGAUUGAGUGAUGACAUCUAUCACUUGUGGGAAGGUCGUCCCGCCUGAUCUAUUGAGAAAAGGCCAGGCUGAAGCACAUGUGAAGUGCUUUGAUUAUUUCUAACCUCAGUUCUCUUGUAAAUUCUUGCAUUAAAUCUCUUGCAUUAAAUGUCUAUUUUUAUAGCUAAUAUUGGACUGUUUUAUAUUCUGAAGGCUGUUUACUGUCUGAGAGUGGUUUGUAUUCAGUGUGUGUGUGUGUGUGUGUGUGUGUUUUCCCCUCAGAUGCGUGUGGUCUAUUGGACAAAUGAUUAAAGAUCUGUUGAUGUGCAUCUGUAUCUCAGGUAGAUGAAUGCCGUUGACCACAUCACUCAGUGAGGCAGUGAGUGGAUGUGACGUGCACCAGAGGGAAAGAACAGAAGAGCAAAUCAGUAUUCACUCAUACAGGACUGUGUGGAAUGUUUUCCUGAACUCUCUACGAAUUUCCUUCCACGACAGAUACUCUCUCCCACAUUUUUAGAGCACAACUCUCAGUUCCUCGUCAGGAAUACUUCUAUGGAAUUCUGUGUAAAAAGUAAGUUUUUUAAAAUUCCUUUAAAGUUUAAUUUUUGGACAAAUAUUUCAUUUCCACAGUGUUAUAAGUUAUGCACACCUCAGAAGACUGGAUAAUUAUGCUGUUGUAAAGUGUAUAUGUUACACACUUCAUCUCAUUGUAACAUUUCACAUGCGUCACAAAUGCUUCAAUAUUGGCUUAGCCUCAGCAGCUCUAUGGUGUGCCAGACUCACCGAAGCCUUUGAUUAAAUUCUAUAUAUGACCCGAGAUCUCCACAGUAUGGCCAUCUUACUAGACUGAUCUCAGCAGGUUAACCACUUACAUAUUUCAGUCAUUCACACAAAGGUUCAUUCUGUUCCAUUGGUGUUUUAAUUGAGCUCCACGAGUUGCCAUCAAGCCCUGAUCCAAUUCCUGGGAUUGCAAACAGUGUUCUCCAGAAAAGAUGUUCAGCGACAGUUGCCUACAUUCGCCUCUGCUGAGACACUUCCAAAGGGGGGAUUUUAUAGCAAUGCCAUAGAAGAACAAUUUUGGUUCCCCUAAGAAAAGUUCUUAAAAGAACCUUUUUUAAGAACCUUUUUCCACUAUAAAGAACAUUUUGUGGAAUGGAGGGUUCCAUGGAUGUUAAAGGUUCUUCAUGGAACCAUAGAUGCCAGUAAAGAACCUUUAUUUUUGAAGAGUGUGUGGUUAAGAAAUGCA